UACGUAGGGGGCUAGCGUUGUCCGGAAUCAUUGGGCGUAAAGAGCGUGUAGGCGGCUCGGUAAGUCCGCUCUGAAAGCCCGGGGCUCAACCCCGGGAGGCGGGCGGAUACUGUCGGGCUAGAGUCCGGAAGAGGCGAGUGGAAUUCCUGGUGUAGCGGUGAAAUGCGUAGAUAUCAAGAGGAACACCUGCGGCGAAGGCGGGUUGCUGGGCCGACACUGACGCUGAAGUGCGAAAGCUAGGGGAGCGAACGGG
rnacentral:rRNA from 1 species